CCUACGGGAGGCAGCAGUAGGGAAUCUUCCACAAUGGGCGAAAGCCUGAUGGAGCAACGCCGCGUGGGUGAAGAAGGUCUUCGGAUCGUAAAACCCUGUUGUUAGAGAAGAAAGUGCGUGAGAGUAACUGUUCACGUUUCGACGGUAUCUAACCAGAAAGCCACGGCUAACUACGUGCCAGCAGCCGCGGUAAUACGUAGGUGGCAAGCGUUAUCCGGAUUUAUUGGGGGUAAAGGGAACGCAGGCGGUCUUUUAAGUCUGAUGUGAAAGCCUUCGGCUUAACCGGAGUAGUGCAUUGGAAACUGGGAGACUUGAGUGCAGAAGAGGAGAGUGGAAUUCCAGGUGUAGCGGUGAAAUGCGUAGAUAUAUGGAAGAACACCAGUGGCGAAAGCGGCUCGCUGGUCUGCAACUGACGCUGAGGUUCGAAAGCGUGGGUAGCAAACAGGAUUAGAUACCCUAGUAGUC
rnacentral:rRNA from 1 species